rnacentral:rRNA from 1 species
GGGGGGGGGGGGCGGGGGGCGGGGGGGGUGGAGGGCGGGCGGGGGGGCCCAGCGGGCUGGGUGGAGUGGUGGCGAACGGGUGAGUAACACGUGAGUAACCUGCCCUUGACUCUGGGAUAAGCCUGGGAAACUGGGUCUAAUACUGGAUAUGACUUCUCAUCGCAUGGUGGGGGGUGGAAAGAUUUAUUGGUCUUGGAUGGACUCGCGGCCUAUCAGCUUGUUGGUGAGGUAAUGGCUCACCAAGGCGACGACGGGUAGCCGGCCUGAGAGGGUGACCGGCCACACUGGGACUGAGACACGGCCCAGACGCCUACGGGAGGCAGCAGUGGGGAAUAUUGCACAAUGGGCGCAAGCCUGAUGCAGCGACGCCGCGUGAGGGAUGACGGCCUUCGGGUUGUAAACCUCUUUCAGUAGGGAAGAAGCGAGAGUGACGGUACCUGCAGAAGAAGCGCCGGUUAACUACGUG